rnacentral:rRNA from 1 species
UGGGGAAUCUUCCACAAUGGGCGCAAGCCUGAUGGAGCAACACCGCGUGAGUGAAGAAGGGUUUCGGCUCGUAAAGCUCUGUUGUUAAAGAAGAACACGUAUGAGAGUAACUGUUCAUACGUUGACGGUAUUUAACCAGAAAGUCACGGCUAACUACGUGCCAGCAGCCGCGGUAAUACGUAGGUGGCAAGCGUUAUCCGGAUUUAUUGGGCGUAAAGAGAGUGCAGGCGGUUUUCUAAGUCUGAUGUGAAAGCCUUCGGCUUAACCGGAGAAGUGCAUCGGAAACUGGAUAACUUGAGUGCAGAAGAGGGUAGUGGAACUCCAUGUGUAGCGGUGGAAUGCGUAGAUAUAUGGAAGAACACCAGUGGCGAAGGCGGCUACCUGGUCUGCAACUGACGCUGAGACUCGAAAAGCAUGGGUAGCGAACAGGAUUAGAUACCCUGGUAG